rnacentral:rRNA from 1 species
GACGAACGCUGGCGGCGUGCUUAACACAUGCAAGUCGAACGGUGAAAGCGGAGCUUGCUCCGCUGGAUCAGUGGCGAACGGGUGAGUAACACGUGGGCAACCUGCCCCUCACUUCGGGAUAACUCCGGGAAACCGGGGCUAAUACCGGAUAUGACCUCCUUGGGCAUCCUUGGAGGUGGAAAGUUUUUCGGUGAGGGAUGGGCCCGCGGCCUAUCAGCUUGUUGGUGAGGUAGUGGCUCACCAAGGCGACGACGGGUAGCCGGCCUGAGAGGGCGACCGGCCACACUGGGACUGAGACACGGCCCAGACUCCUACGGGAGGCAGCAGUGGGGAAUUUUCCACAAUGGGCGAGAGCCUGAUGGAGCAACGCCGCGUGCAGGAUGAAUGCCUUCGGGUUGUAAACUGCUUUUAUGUGCGAAGAAUUUGACUGUAACACAUGAAUAAGGAUCGGCUAACUACGUGCCAGCAGCCGCGGUAA